rnacentral:rRNA from 1 species
GACGAACGCUGGCGGCGUGCUUAACACAUGCAAGUCGAGCGGAGCGGCGAACGGGGGAGGAACGCGUGAGUAACUUCCCCCCUCUCUGGGAUAACAGUUGGAAACGGAUGCUAAUACCGGAUAGUGGGGGAUGACUCGCGUCCUAUCAGCUUGUUGGUUGGGUAGUGGCCUACCAAGGAGACGACGGGUAGCCGGCCUGAGAGGGCGACCGGCCACAUGGGGCUGGGAUACGGCCCAAACUGCUACAGGAGGCAGCAGUGGGGAAUAUUGCGCAAUUGGGGUAACCCUGCUGCAGCGAUGCCGCGUGGGGGAUGAAGGGUUGCGGGUUUCAGACAUCUCGUUGCAAUGGUCGGGUAGGUGGAGAAGAAGCGCCGGCUAACUACGUGCCAGCAGCCGCGGUAAUAC